CUUGCAGACCCGCGCCAGUGGCCUCGUGCUGGCCCGGCUGCCAGCUGGCUAGGCUCUGCUGUGGCUCUGGGGGUUGCCACUGGAGGAGUCUCCACGGCCUAGGCCGGAGUGUCUCCAGGCCGAGUGUGCAGCCAGCACUGGACAGGCCCUCUCUGCUCCUUCCUGCUCGGCCGGUCGCUCCAGCCUCUGCUGCCGGAACUCCUGUGAGAAAACCCGAGGCUUUUAGAUGAUCUCCAUGCCAAGCAGGGGAGAGAGACUGAGAGGCUGCCCCUGGGCUCUAGUGAGGUGCUCAGAGCAGGCUCCGGGUAGGCCUGGUUAGGGAGAGGGGCUCCACUUGUUCCCAAGGGACUAGUGUCUGAAGCAAGGAGCAGGGAGAAAUUACCUAUCUCUUCCUCUCUUAGCCCGACAUGAAUUGGAUUUUCCCUCCUCUGGCCCCCACGUAGGCCAGUGUGAGGCACACAGACGUUCAUCUCUACUGUGGGCAGCCGCUGGCCCCCCAACGGCUUCCUGACAAGCCGGGUUCUGGUCCCUGUGAAAGCGAAAGCGAGCCUGCCUGAAAGCCCAUCAGCAGGAAACCCGUUUGGAUCUGGACGGCUGCUGGAGCAUUGUGUGUGCUCUUUUAUACUACCUGCUUUCCAGAACUGUACUUCUCAGCUUGUCAGAAGCCAGGGGUGGUAAUCUCCAGAAUAAAAGGAGAAAUGGAAGUGAGAGGCCUCCAUGGGUAAACCCAAAUUUAAACUAAACUGCCUCCGCCCCAAAGCUCCCAAGAAGUUCUUCCCCCUGGCUUUCCAUUUCUUUAUUUUGCACUUUGAAAGCUCCCUCCAUCCUGAACAUUCUUGUGGAAAGUAUUUGAUUCCAGGGUCCGAAGUGUUUUUUGUCUAUUU